CAGUCCCCUGGGGCCCUUCGGUAAAUAUGCAAAUUGAUUUUUCUUCACAUGCUUGCCUGUAAAAGAGAAAAAGAGAAGUUGGUAAUGGAUGACAUUUACUUCAAAUGCAUUGAAGUUUUCCCCACGUCGAGGGAUGUGUAUUGCUGUUGAUUUUCCUUUAAUUUUUGUCCUGCUUCAAUAACAAAUCUCACCAGAUUGUCUGCUGGAUGAUCGGGAUUUCUCCAUAAGGCUUAGCCCUCUGACUCCCUGACCUGUAACGCCGCAGUGAGAUCACCAAGAUGAUAGGGAAGUAUAAGACAACAAAAAAUGUUGGGGGGGGGUUCAACUGUGUGUUGUCAUUCUAAACUAAACGGCUGUUCUGGUUUGUCCUCUCUCAAGGUGAUGACAAAGGGAAAACAGGUUUACAGAAUAUUUUGCAAAUGUAUAAAAAAAUAAUCUGAAUCUAGAUGCAUGGAAGAUAAUUAGGCUGAGAACAGUGUGAACCUCAACAUCCCCUUUAACCGUCUGAAAAUGGCAUUCAGUAUGGUCCUUCACUUCUACCGUGAGACCUGAGUCCGAGCCAGCAACCUGUACACAGCUGCCGAAAGCUAUCAACUGCCUUCUCUCAUGCUUUUUCUCUCAGGAGUACUAGUAGGAAAAUGGACAAAGACCAUGACUAAAGGACAGUGGCGUUUAUCAGAGGAUGGUGAAACAGAUGGCAACUCUGGAUGAGCCCCCAUUUCCCACUGUAGAUUGAAGGUUCUAUCAUUACUCAUCGUCCCUCUUUUAACAAGUUGAGGGUAAGGUCAUCUAAACCUUUAAUCUGUUUACAUUAUGUGGAACACUGCGCUGAUGAGCAAGCACCAACCUUUUGAAGAUCUUAGCAGAAUUAUGAUAAACAAAAAAGGUAAAUGCAACCCGAUUGUGGUAAGAAAAAUUGAAACAAAUGGUUAACAUUGAGGUGAAUAAAUCUCUCAAUCUACAGAUCCGCUGUGCAUGCAUGCACAUUUUUGAUAUUGACUCCUACUUUAUUAAUGGAAUCUUUCCUAUGAUUCUAGUAUUACCAUACUAACUGGAUUGUACAACCCAGAAUGAAGGGUUUGAAAUGUCUUUUUUUUCUGUUCUAAUUUCCCUUACUUUAGAGUGUAAAAUAUUUUGAUAUAGAAGCUCAAAUCUAAAUGCUUACAUUAAAAUGUAAUGGUUAUCACACACGAGAAGAGGAUGGAAUGUAAUGGAACAGUUUGUGUUUGCGCUUUUCUUAUAACACAUUUCUGUGUUCUAUUCAUGUGCUGUUCUAUAAAAAAAUAUGUUUUCAUGCAA